GUAGGAGCCGGCUUGCUGGCGAUGGCGGCCGGCCAGACGAUGCAAGUCUCACUGGCCUCAUCGCCAGCAAGCCGGCUCCUAC
rnacentral:antisense_RNA from 1 species